UGGGGAAUUUUGGACAAUGGGGGAAACCCUGAUCCAGCCAUCCCGCGUGUGCGAUGAAGGCCUUCGGGUUGUAAAGCACUUUUGGCAGGAAAGAAACGUCAUGGGUUAAUACCCCGUGAAACUGACGGUACCUGCAGAAUAAGCACCGGCUAACUACGUGCCAGCAGCCGCGGUAAUACGUUGGGUGCAAGCGUUAAUCGGAAUUACUGGGCGUAAAGCGUGCGGAGGGGGUUCGGAAAGAAAGAUGUGAAAUCCCAGAGCUCAACUUUGGAACUGCAUUUUUAACUACCGGGCUAGAGUGUGUCAGAGGGAGGUGGAAUUCCGCGUGUAGCAGUGAAAUGCGUAGAUAUGCGGAGGAACACCGAUGGCGAAGGCAGCCUCCUGGGAUAACACUGACGCUCAUGCACGAAAGCGUGGGGAGCAAACAGG
rnacentral:rRNA from 1 species